ACUCCUACGGGAGGCAGCAGUGGGGAAUAUUGCGCAAUGGGGGAAACCCUGACGCAGCGACGCCGCGUGAGCGAAGAAGGCCUUAGGGUUGUAAACCUCUGUUUUAAGGGACGAAUGUCGUGGGGAGUAACAUGCUCUGCGAAUGACGGUACCUUAAGAGGAAGCCCCGGCUAACUACGUGCCAGCGGCCGCGGUAAGACGUAGGGGGCGAGCGUUGUCCGGAAUUACUGGGCGUAAAGAGCACGUAGGCGGGAACUUAAGUCAGGUGUGAAAGACCGGGGCUCAACUCCGGGGUUGCACUUGAAACUGGGUUUCUUGAGGGCAGGAGAGGAAAGCAGAAUUCCUGGUGUAGCGGUGAAAUGCGUAGAAAUCAGGAGGAAUACCAGUGGCGAAGGCGGCUUUCUGGACUGACCCUGACGCUGAGGUGCGAAAGCGUGGGUAGCAAACAGGAUUAGAUACCCUGGUAGUCCACGCCGUAAACGAUGGAUACUAGGUGUGGGAGGUAUCGACCCCUUCCGUGCCGCAGCUAACGCAAUAAGUGCUCCGCCUGGGGACUACGGCCGCAAGGUUGAAACUCAAAUGAAUUGACGG
rnacentral:rRNA from 1 species